CGUAAGAAGAGGAAUUAAUUCCAGCUCACAGUGAGAACAUUACAAGAGAAGCAAGUUCAUUGUGAAGGGCAAUCAGAUAGAUCCUGACCUCCUGAAUUUGGAAGAAGCCAGAAUGUCAUUGUUCUUUAGUGGGAAGAGAAUUAGACCCAGAAGAUCUGCUGUGGACAUUACAUAUCCACCCGUCUUUUUCCAUCUCUUUUAAAGUUGAGCCCACCACCACUCCACUCCAAAACCAAAAUCUGUUGCUGUACAGGUUCCUGCAUGAGUGUCGCUGAGGAUGUGAUCUGAAGAUAAUGACAUUGCACAGAUAUAAAGCUUCCAAUCUCAAAUAAGCCAGAAUGUGUGUUGUUGCUUUUGUGGAUCAGAAAAAAAACAACCAUCAAGAACUUGACAGAAAAGAAAUCUUCAAAAAUGUUGCUGCCCGAAGCUUUAUAAUUAAACAGAGAUUUUAUCACCAACAACAGAGUACCUGUCACUGUGGAGAGAAUUUGCUUCAAUUUUGUAUUUCUUUGCAGGGUUCAUUCUGAAUAUUCUCAUUCCUUCUCUUUAAAGCUGGUUUUGGAAACAGUGCAACUCUUGUGAAAUUUUUUAAAGUUG
rnacentral:lncRNA from 1 species